rnacentral:lncRNA from 1 species
UUGCGUCACGCGCUGUUCGCCAGAAGCAAAAAGCACUGCUUUCCCGCAACCGCUCUCUUUUUUUUAUGCGCAAGAUACAUUGUACUUAAUUGCUUGGCGCAAAAUACCGGCUGCUGUUGCCCCACACUUUUCUCUUAAACCUCUUCGGCUUCGGCUUCAGCCAGGCGGCCAGGGUUGCCACGGCUAGCUCACGCGAAAGCCAGCUGCCGCCAAAUAAUUUUUGGGCUUCACUCGGUCUCGAUUUGUUUCGAGCCACCCCUUAACUACGCAACACAUUCGCAGAGGACUACCAACACACCUACACAGCGUAGCGAAGGGAACGCGGGUCAAGGUGUUCAGUUCGGUUGGGUCCUUUUAUGCAAGGAAAUGAACCGGAAAUUAUGUUGCACACACCGUCGAACGAAAACAACAGUUUUUUGAACUUGGCUCAUCGAGCGGCCGACAAUCCAAUCCAUUCGAGGCGAGUUGGAUAGGUGUGAAUCGGUCUGCAAAAUAAUUUUUACUAUUAUUUAUUUUUUUGCAGAACAAAUGAAGAUAUUUUCUGUAUUAAAAAUAAACCAGAAAACCUAUGUACAC